CGGCGUUGGCUGCUCUGGUGACGGGAGGAGCUAGAGGAGGAUUUAGUCUGUGUCCAAACAAGAAGCCAUUGGCGAACUAGAGCUAGCUUCAAGGUCAGAGGACAGGCAGUCUUGUGACCUAGGGUUAGGAGCCACACCGGUCAUAGCGGCGGCUGAAAAACGAAUCAAACCGUCUUUAAAAUGUUUUCACGGUAAACAACCAGCUGUCGAACAGAGGCAGCCUUCAAACUGCAGGAUGACAACAGCAGACUUUUUUCUGUUUUUCUAGUGGUGAGAACAUGGAUGUCAGACGUGUAAGCUGCUUCGUUUCCACGGUGAUAAACCUUCCACUCCAAAGGUGAUGAAAGGCCUCUGACACCCAACGCAUAUGCACAUGUACAAGCGCACACGCACACAUGCACACUUUCACGCGCACCCACACAUGCACACGCACACAUCUACACACACACAUCUACACGCACACAUCUACACGCACAGAACCACACGCAUACAUAUGCCUGUUGUGUGGCUCUCUGAAACAGCUCUGUAACAUCGUCCGAUGUUAGAGAGUUCAGUCAAUAACAAUGUUUUUUGACUCAACUCUCAAGAGACAAUAACAAUGUUUACACUAGACAAGUUCAUCAACUCUGACUGCGAACACAAACGACACCAGAACACUAGUGAGACAGAGUGAACAAUACCGACACCAGAAGAUUAGUGAGACAGAGUGAAAACUAGUGAGGCAGACUGAACACUAGUGAGACAGAGUGAACACUAGUGAGGCAGAGUGAAUACUAGUGAGACAGAGUGAACAAUGGUGAGACAGAGUGACACUAGCGAGGCAGAGUGAGGCAGAGUGAACACUAGUGAGACAGAGUGAACCCUAGUGAGGCAGAGUGAACACUAGUGAGACAGAGUGAACCCUAGUGAGGCAGAGUGAACACUAUUGAGACAACGGUAAAAAUAGUGAGGCAGAGCGAACACUAGUGGGACAGAGGGAACACUAGUAAAACAGAGUGAACACUAUUGAGGCAGAGUGAACACUAGUGAGGCAGAGUGAGGCAGAGUGAACACUAGUGAGGCAGAGGGAACACUACCAACACCAGACCAGCAGUAAGAAACCGAAUGCCUCCUUUGUUGCGGUGUUUUGUGUUAUGUUAUAUUAUGUUGUGGUAUGUUAU
ensembl:lncRNA